ensembl:lncRNA
AUGUGGCAAAAGUUCGCAAAGUUCAAGGGGGCCGAAUACUUUUGCAAGGCACUGUAUCUACCUCCAUCACUCCAGUAUCCCUGUCUCCUUCCACCUAUACAUAUCUACCUCCAUCACUCCAGUAUCUCCUUCCCCCUAUACAUAUCUACCUCCAUCACUCCAGUAUCCCUGUCUCCUUCCCCCUAUACAUAUCUACCUCCAUCACUCCAGUAUCUCUGUCUCCUUACCCCUAUAUAUAUCUACCUCCAUCACUCCAGUAUCCCUGUCUCCUAUACAUAUCUACCUCCACCACUCCAGUAUCUCUGUCUCCUUACCCCUACAUAUAUCUACCUCCAUCACUCCAGUAUCCCUGUCUCCUAUACAUAUCUACCUCCAUCACUCCAGUAUCUCUGUCUCCUUCCCCCUAUACAUAUCUACCUCCAUCACUCCAGUAUCUCUGUCUCCUUACCCCUAUACAUAUCUACCUCCAUCACUCCAGUAUCCCUGUCUCCUUCCCCCUAUACAUAUCUACCUCCAUCACUCCAGUAUCUCUGUCUCCUUCCCCCUAUAUAUAUCUACCUCCAUCACUCCAGUAUCUCUGUCUCCUUACCCCUAUACAUAUCUACCUCCAUCACUCCAGUAUCUCUGUCUCCUUACCCCUAUACAUAUCUACCUCCAUCACUCCAGUAUCCCUGUCUCCUUCCCCCUAUACAUAUCUACCUCCAUCACUCCAGUAUCCCUGUCUCCUUCUCCCUAUACAUAUCUACCUCCAUCACUCCAGUAUCUCUGUCUCCUUACCCCUAUAUAUAUCUACCUCCAUCACUCCAGUAUCCCUGUCUCCUAUACAUAUCUACCUCCAUCACUCCAGUAUCUCUGUCUCCUUCUCCCUAUACAUAUCUACCUCCAUCACUCCAGUAUCUCUGUCUCCUUCCCCCUAUAUAUAUCUACCUCCAUCACUCCAGUAUCUCUGUCUCCUUACCCCUAUACAUAUCUACCUCCAUCACUCCAGUAUCUCUGUCUCCUUACCCCUAUACAUAUCUACCUCCAUCACUCCAGUAUCCCUGUCUCCUUCCCCCUAUACAUAUCUACCUCCAUCACUCCAGUAUCUCUGUCUCCUUCCCCCUAUAUAUAUCUACCUCCAUCACUCCAGUAUCUCUGUCUCCUUACCCCUAUAUAUAUCUACCUCCAUCACUCCAGUAUCUCUGUCUCCUUACCCCUAUACAUAUCUACCUCCAUCACUCCAGUAUCUCUGUCUCCUUACCCCUAUACAUAUCUACCUCCAUCACUCCAGUAUCCCUGUCUCCUUCUCCCUAUACAUAUCUACCUCCAUCACUCCAGUAUCUCUGUCUCCUUACCCCUAUAUAUAUCUACCUCCAUCACUCCAGUAUCCCUGUCUCCUAUACAUAUCUACCUCCAUCACUCCAGUAUCUCUGUCUCCUUCUCCCUAUACAUAUCUACCUCCAUCACUCCAGUAUCCCUGCCCCCUAUACAUAUCUACCUCCAUCACUCCAGUAUCUCUGUCUCCUUCCCCCUCUACAUAUCUACCUCCAUCACUCCAGUAUCCCUGCCCCCUAUACAUAUCUACAGUGCCUUGCUGUAGAUCUGUGGAGUCAUCAGACCAGUCGCCACUUCCUCAUACUGUGUUUUUAUGUGUGUUCAUCCUCCUCACAUAUCAAACCUUUUUUAUGA